rnacentral:rRNA from 1 species
GGAGGAAAAGAAACCAACAGGGAUUGCCCUAGUAACGGCGAGUGAAGCGGCAACAGCUCAAAUUUGAAAGCUAGCCUUCGGGUUCGCAUUGUAAUUUGUAGAGGAUGAUUUGGGGAAGCCGCCUGUCUAAGUUCCUUGGAACAGGACGUCAUAGAGGGUGAGAAUCCCGUAUGUGACAGGAAAUGGCACCCUAUGUAAAUCUCCUUCGACGAGUCGAGUUGUUUGGGAAUGCAGCUCUAAAUGGGAGGUAAAUUUCUUCUAAAGCUAAAUAUUGGCGAGAGACCGAUAGCGCACAAGUAGAGUGAUCGAAAGAUGAAAAGCACUUUGGAAAGAGAGUUAAAAAGCACGUGAAAUUGUUGAAAGGGAAGCGCUUGCAAUCAGACUUGUUUAAACUGUUCGGCCGGUCUUCUGACCGGUUUACUCAGUUUGGACAGGCCAGCAUCAGUUUCGGCGGCCGGAUAAAGGCUCUGGGAAUGUGGCCUCCACUUCGGUGGAGGUGUUAUAGCCCAGGGUGUAAUACGGCCAGCCGGGACUGAGGUCCGCGCUUCGGCUAGGAUGCUGGCGUAAUGGUUGUAAGCGACCCGUCUUGAAACACG